GUCUUGUAGAUUAUAAUUUCAAGUCUGACCUGCCCAGUGAGGUUUUAAACGGCCGCGGUAUUUUGACCGUGCAAAGGUAGCAUAGUCAUUAGUUUUUUAAUUGAAAGCUUGAAUGAAAGGUUUGAUGAAAAAAAGACUGUCUCUAUAAAAAUUUAUUAGAAUUUUAUUUUUAAGUUAAAAAGCUUAAAUUUGAAUAGAAGACGAGAAGACCCUAUAGAGUUUUAUAUUUUUAAAGCAAAGAUAUUUUAGGAUUUAAAAAUUUUAUUGUUUGUAAGAAUAUUUUGUUGGGGUGAUAAAAAAACUAAAAAAACUUUUUUUAUAUAAAUACAUUUAUUUAUGGGUGAGUGAUCCUAGAAUUUAGAUUAAAAGAUUAAAUUACCUUAGGGAUAACAGCGUAAUUUUUUUUAGAGUUCUUAUCGAAAAAAAAGAUUGCGACCUCGAUGUUGGAUUAAAAUUGAUUGUUGGUGAAGAAGCUAAUAAAUUAGGUCUGUUCGACCUUUAAAAUUUUACAUGAUCUGAGUUUAGACCGGUGUGAG
rnacentral:rRNA from 1 species